rnacentral:rRNA from 1 species
AUGGCAUCUUCGGGCAGCGCGGGGAGAGACGUGCCGGCGGCGAGGGCGGCCGCGGCGGUGAACGACCUGAUCGAGGCGCGCGAGGGGGCGACGAGGCUCAAGGGCAUGCUGCAGGAGCAGUCGUCGGAGUUGACAGAGCUGAUGGACGGGAUGCUCAACAAGCUGUCCAGCGCUCUGUCGGCGUUGGACACCGGCUGCACGGCCGGAGCGUCCGCGUCCGGGUCGGCCGAUGGGGUGAUCAGGGCGAGGGCGGAGAGCUCCACCGGGAGGACGAGGAAACGCAGCUUCAGCAGAAGAUUAGAAGGCUUCUCUGGCAAGCGAGAUACUGACACGCUGGUUGAUGGUCACAUAUGGCGGAAGAUGGGCAGAAAGAAAUCCAAAACUCAACUCAUCCGAGACCAAGGCUGCAACGCCAAGAGGCAAGCCCAGAUCUGCGAGACCCAUCCAAUCAAGUACGACAUCACGUACUACGGCGAGCACACCUGCAAGCCUCCCUCCAAUACCCCAAUGAUCAUUGUCGCUGCGAGCGACGACCGUGCAGAAAACCUCGCGGACGAGCUCGCCGCCUUCGUGGGAUCGGCCGGGAGGACGUCCUCGAUGGUGGGGUCGGUGCCGGACCACAGCGGGAGUGGGAUAGGCGACAUGGCGGGAGGCGGCCAGGGUGGCGGCACGGGCAGUUUCCCGUCGUCGCCGAGCAGCCUCGGGUUCGUGGUGGGCUCUCUGGGCAGCAUCGGAGAUGACGAUUUUUUCCUGUUCGAUCCAUGA